AGGAUGGAGGGUAAAAGUGUUCUUCUCUGAAAUAAAUGUGGUGUUUCCUGACAGCAUUUGUCAAGAAGGAAAGGUCAAAAAUAAAGCACUGAUGGAAACACACGAUAAAUAAGAACGUCUUUCUUUCUUAAUGUUGUGACUGCAUUAUUACCGCCUUCUGGUUGAAAUUAGUUAGUCGUCCUACAGUAACAGGUCAUCAAAUUCCAGUCAUGCAACCGGAGCUUCUGACCAUGGCCCCUUCUGCUGAGAACUCUUAGAUCGGCCUCUGAAAGAGCUCUGACUGUUGUUUCCCCAAAACACUCCCUGGCAGCAGGAAGCAGUUAAUAUUGGUCUUUGGCCAGCUUCAAGAAUGAUAGAGGCUACAAGGUGCUUCCAAGAACCGUAUAAAGAGGGAGUAAGGU